rnacentral:rRNA from 1 species
ACUAGGUCAGGACACAGUAAGGAUUGACAGAUUGAAAGCUUCUUUCUUGAUUUUUGUGGAUGGUGGUGCAUGGCCGUUUUUAGUUGGUGGAUUGAUUUGUCUGGUUAAUUCCGAAAACGAACGAGACCUUAACCUGUUAACUAUGUGAUGUUAAAAUUCGACUUCGGUCUCAAUAUUUGAUAUUAAAAAUUUAAUACUUCUUAAAGGAACAAUUCAAACUUUAAUUGAAUGGAAGUUUAAGGCAAAAACAGGUCUGUGAUGCCCUUCGAUGUUCUGGGCUGCACGCGCGUUACACUGAUAUGUUCAAUGAGUUUUAAAUUUCCUAGUCUGAAAAGACGUGGUAAACUUAGAAAAACAUAUCGUGAUUGGAAUAGUAUUUUGUAAUUAUCGCACUUGAACGAGGAAUUCCUAGUAGGGGCAAUUCAUCAAAUUGCCCCGAUUACGUCCCCGCC